UGAUCACCGAACGUGGGUGGCACAAACUGCGCAGUUAAAUCUCUCCACCGAUGUCACUAGUCACCACUCGGUUUUCUCAAAAAAUUUGUAGCGUCCCUUGCGUUCAUUGUGCGUUGUUUAUCAUUUAUUUGUUGUCAAACAGUUUUUUCCACCAUUUAAAUAUUUUGUUUUCUCAACUUUCUACGACAUUAUCUAUGACAUUUCUAAUGAGCUCGUUACAAUAGAUAGUAGGUGGGUAUAGGACUCUAUCAUCCAUUGUCAUUUGUCGUUGUUUCAUGACAUUUUAAGAGCGUCGAACCAAGCAGGCUAUCCUUUUUAUCUUAGCAUUUGAAACACAAACUAAAGAACACCUAACAACUUUAUGUGAAUACCGUUUUGGCCAGAUUUCAAGCCAGUUGAACUGGAGCAAUAAGAUCAAAUUAAAUCAAGUUUGUCAUUUUACAAAAGUCGAGGUUUACAACAGGUGCUACAUACCAACCCUAAGCUUUACAUUAUCAGAGUAAUAUUCUUCAUAAUAUAGUAGUUUAAGUAGAAGAGCCAACGAAUCACUUAUGACUGGGUGUGUAGUCACUAAAUUUUGAAGGAAAAACAGAUAAUCUGAGUUCAAACUGUUUUUGUGAUACUGGGCUAAACCGUCAUUAAGAUGAUCAUUUGAACAAAGAAAAAGAUACAAUAGCUAAAAUGGAGAUGGAUAG